AAAACUUUCAACAACGGAUCUCUUGGCUCUGGCAUCGAUGAAGAACGCAGCGAAAUGCGAUAAGUAAUGUGAAUUGCAGAAUUCAGUGAAUCAUCGAAUCUUUGAACGCACAUUGCGCCCGCCAGUAUUCUGGCGGGCAUGCCUGUUCGAGCGUCAUUUCAACCCUCAAGCCCUCGGGUUUGGUGUUGGGGAUCGGCGAGCCUUCCUGGCAGGCCGGCCCCGAAAUCUAGUGGCGGUCUCGCUGCAGCCUCCAUUGCGUAGUAGUAAAACCCUCGCAACUGGAACGCGGCGCGGCCAAGCCGUUAAACCCCCAACUUCUGAAUGUUGACCUCGGAUCAGGUAGGAAUACCCGCUGAACUUAAGCAUAUCAAUAAGCGGAGGAAAAGAAACCAACAGGGAUUGCCCUAGUAACGGCGAGUGAAGCGGCAACAGCUCAAAUUUGAAAUCUGGCUCUCGGGCCCGAGUUGUAAUUUGUAGAGGAUGCUUUUGAUGCGGUGCCUUCCGAGUUCCCUGGAACGGGACGCCAUAGAGGGUGAGAGCCCCGUCUGGUUGGAUGCCAAAUCUCUGUAAAGCUCCUUCAACGAGUCGAGUAGUUUGGGAAUGCUGCUCUAAAUGGGAGGUAUAUGUCUUCUAAAGCUAAAUACCGGCCAGAGACCGAUAGCGCACAAGUAGAGUGAUCGAAAGAUGAAAAGCACUUUGAAAAGAGAGUUAAAAAGUACGUGAAAUUGUUGAAAGGGAAGCGUUUAUGACCAGACUUGGACUUGGUUAAUCAUCUGGGGUUCUCCCCAGUGCACUUUUCCAGUUCAGGCCAGCAUCAGUUUUCCCCGGGGGACAAAGGCGGCGGGAAUGUGGCUCUCUUCGGGGAGUGUUAUAGCCCGCCGUGUAAUGCCCUGGGGGGGACUGAGGUUCGCGCAUCUGCAAGGAUGCUGGCGUAAUGGUCAUCAACGACCCGUCUUGAAACACGGACC
rnacentral:rRNA from 1 species